CCUACGGGAGGCAGCAGUGGGGAAUAUUGGACAAUGGGGGAAACCCUGAUCCAGCGACGCCGCGUGAGUGAAGAAGUAUUUCGGUACGUAAAGCUCUAUCAGCAGGAAAGAAAAUGACGGUACCUGACUAAGAAGCCCCGGCUACCUACGUGCCAGCAGCCGCGGUAAUACGUAGGGGGCAAGCGUUAUCCGGAUUUUCUGGGGGUAAAGGGAGCGUAGACGGCAGCGCAAGUCUGGAGUGAAAUGCCGGGGGCCAACCCCGGAACUGCUCUGGAAACUGUGAAGCUGGAGUGCAGGAGAGGUAAGCGGAAUUCCUGGUGUAGCGGUGAAAUGCGUAGAUAUCAGGAGGAACACCGGCGGCGAAGGCGGCUUACUGGACUGUAACUGACGUUGAGGCUCGAAGGCGUGGGGAGCAAACAGGAUUAGAUACCCUAGUAGUC
rnacentral:rRNA from 1 species